UGGCUACCGGAAAGCCGAUUAUAGCGAUGGAUUUUUGGGUAAAAUCCGCCAUUGUUGUGAAAAAGGUCCUACGCCUAACGAUUUUUAUAAUGGAUAAUGCCGAUACUUUUCACAGCUAAAGCAUGGUGCCAAAGAUGAACGAAUGCAGUAAAUUUUCAAAAGGAGUAAAAUUUUCUAGAAAAGGAAACCUUCUGCUGGUCGUAAUAUUACGAAUGAGCUUCAUGCAUCUGUUGUCGUUUCAGACUACGCUUCUCAUUCAAAACAUGAACCUAAUUCAUUUUUAAAUUAAAAUCGUAUUGAGGACAUUUUAAUGGUGACAGCAAAAGAUAUAUAUAUUUGAUAAUAAAAGAUUUUAUUUGCACCAAG